UAAAACAUAAACUCAUAUGUUGUAGUCUUCAUGUUGCACCUUUAGAAGCUUCACUCGAAGACUUCCCAAUUUGUUCCUUCUCUGGAACGCCGAGGAUCCACAUAAUAUAUGAGGAUCUCGCCUUAGGAACUCGCCUAAGGAUCUCGCCUUGCUUAAUGAUUAUUUGUUCAAUGUAGUGUCUGAUAUGGAUCAAUUACUUGCUUAUAUUCCACGUUGCUUAGUUUAUCCAACUCAGGAUCUCCUUAACUUAGCAUUAUCCCUCUAAGGAUCUCGGAACCUAUUAUGCAACAUAACUUAACCAAUUGUCAGGAGUUUGCUUUGUCAUCAUCAAAACUUUAGGGUCAACAAGAAUCAUCACCUUACGCAUAGCUUGAGAGGUAGUUGAAUAUGUGAAGUGUCAACUGCUGGAGUAUCCUGAGGCUAGGCAUUUGUAAGAGGUUGUUGCGGGUAUUGACUCGUUGGUAAUUGGUGGGAUUCAUGGGUUCUCUGUUUGGUGGGAUUCAUAGAUUCAUGGUAAUUGGUGGGAUUCAUUGGUAAUUGAUGUGCGUGUUGACUCAUUGGUUGUUCUAGGGAAAAGAUUGGAGGCCAGGGUUAGGGCUACAGAGAGAUUCAAAUGAGAAGAUUUUCUGGUUAGAAAUAAGAAGACAAGAGAGCACCACAUUUGAAAAGAUAAGGCUACUAGCAACAUAUGUACUGCUCAGUAUUUGACCCAGUUGGUCUUAGUUGUGGUCUUAUAUUCUGCUAUAUGUGUGGCUGCAAUGCUUCAUCUGUGACUAUAGUUGAAGGACUUCAAGCGGCAUCUCCAUAGGAGAAGUGUCCUUGUGCCGAGAGAGGGAUGUGAUUGUUUGCAGAGUACUAUAAGUUGUGGCAUUAACCUCAUCUAUCUAUGCAUAUUGCUCGCACCUAUUAGAAUUGGAACAAAACAUCCGUCACACCGGAAUUACCAAAUUGAGAUGUAAUCUGUUACCGCUUAAACGACAUUCAUGUAUUUAAUUUAUACAUAUUAGCACUCUUUAGAGAAACAUUAAUUAGAGGAGUGAGCACGAGACUUUCACAUUAGCUUUUAUUAUUUUUAUUUUUUCAGAUUCUUCUUAAUACUUUUUCAAACUUAUCUAAUUUUUUCACUUCACCCAUGCUCAUUCAAGACUUGUGAAA